UUAGCCAUGCAUGUCUCAGUACAUGCCGCACUAAGGUGAAACCGCAAAAGGCUCAUUAAAUCAGUUAUGGUUCCUUGGAUCUUAAACAGUUACUUGGAUAACUGUGGUAAUUCUAGAGCUAAUACAUGCAAACAAGUCCCGACCAGAGAUGGGAGGGACGCUUUUAUUAGAUCAAAACCGAUCGGCGUCCGGCUCCGGCCGGCGCCGUCUCUUUUGGUGACUCUGGAUAACUUUUAGCCGAUCGCACGGUCACAGUACCGGCGACGCAUCUUUCAAAUGUCUGACUUAUCAACUGUCGAUGGUAGGCUCUGCGCCUACCAUGGUUGUAACGGGUAACGGGGAAUCAGGGUUCGAUUCCGGAGAGGGAGCCUGAGAAACGGCUACCACAUCCAAGGAAGGCAGCAGGCGCGCAAAUUACCCACUCCCGGCACGGGGAGGUAGUGACGAAAAAUAACGAUACGGGACUCAUCCGAGGCCCCGUAAUCGGAAUGAGUACACUUUAAAUACUUUAACGAGUACCAAUUGGAGGGCAAGUCUGGUGCCAGCAGCCGCGGUAAUUCCAGCUCCAAUAGCGUAUAUUAAAGUUGUUGCGGUUAAAAAGCUCGUAGUUGGAUCUGUGUGCCACGCUGUCGGUUCACCGCCCGUCGGUGUCAACUGGCAUGUCUGUGGGACGUCCUGCCGGUGGCGGUACGGGCUGCCGGCGCUGCGUAGGGGCACAACCCCGAAGCACGCCGGCGUGUCCCGGUCCGCCGAUCCAAUCCCGCCGCGGUGCUCUUCACUGAGUGUCGAGGUGGGCCGGCACGUUUACUUUGAACAAAUUAGAGUGCUCAAAUCAGGUCGUAUUUAGGCCUGAAUACUGUGU
rnacentral:rRNA from 1 species